UGGGGAAUUUUGGACAAUGGGCGAAAGCCUGAUCCAGCAAUGCCGCGUGUGUGAAGAAGGCCUUCGGGUUGUAAAGCACUUUUGUCCGGAAAGAAAUCCUUGGCUCUAAUACAGUCGGGGGAUGACGGUACCGGAAGAAUAAGCACCGGCUAACUACGUGCCAGCAGCCGCGGUAAUACGUAGGGUGCAAGCGUUAAUCGGAAUUACUGGGCGUAAAGCGUGCGCAGGCGGUUUGCUAAGACCGAUGUGAAAUCCCCGGGCUCAACCUGGGAACUGCAUUGGUGACUGGCAGGCUAGAGUAUGGCAGAGGGGGGUAGAAUUCCACGUGUAGCAGUGAAAUGCGUAGAGAUGUGGAGGAAUACCGAUGGCGAAGGCAGCCCCCUGGGCCAAUACUGACGCUCAUGCACGAAAGCGUGGGGAGCAAACAGGAUUAGAUACCCUGGUAGUCCACGCCCUAAAACGAUGUCAACUAGUUGUUGGGGAUUCAUUUCCUUAGUAACGUAGCUAACGCGUGAAGUUGACCGCCUGGGGAGUACGGUCGCAAGAUUAAAAC
rnacentral:rRNA from 1 species